rnacentral:lncRNA from 1 species
UCAGAGCCUAGGCAUCGUAGAUUAAGGUAUGGAUUAAUUAUUCAUAGGCUUAUUAGAUCUGAAAUUUAAAUGAUUAUGCAUGCUGAAAAUUUUCUGCAUGCAGAUUUUUUCUAGGAUGCUGAUUUUUGCAUGCUGAUUUUUAUGUGAUAAAAGAUGAUUCUAAUUGCAUUGUUAAUGGGAUUACAAAGUUUAGAAUCAUGGUUAGCAUGAUCAGCAACCUAUAUCAUGAGAUAAUCAAAUAGAUUUCAGAUCUGAAAAUUAUAAUUGUUGCAUGUGGUGAUGAUCAUAGGAUUCAAACCCUUUUGGUAUCAAAUGUAAUGACCUGCGAUGUGAUCUGUAAUGUCAUGUAAUUUUUCAGAUGCUUGCAUGCAUCUUAUUUGAUGUUUUGAGAGGCCUGCGUGCCUCCUAAAAGGGGAUGUAAUUUAUUAUUAUUUUUAUUUUACAUCUGGUUGUAUUUCUGUGAUGUGAUGUACGUCAACGAUCAAGUUAAAGACAAGGAAUGAGAUGAACGGCGAUCCAAGUGG